rnacentral:rRNA from 1 species
UUCCCGGGCCUUGUACACACCGCCCGUCACACCACGAAAGUUGGCAAUACCCGAAGCCGGUGGCCUAACCCGCAAGGGAGGGAGCCCUCGAAGGUAGGGUCGAUGAUUGGGGUG